UAGGGAAUCUUCGGCAAUGGACGAAAGUCUGACCGAGCAACGCCGCGUGAGUGAAGAAGGUUUUCGGAUCGUAAAACUCUGUUGUUAGAGAAGAACAAGGACGUUAGUAACUGAACGUCCCCUGACGGUAUCUAACCAGAAAGCCACGGCUAACUACGUGCCAGCAGCCGCGGUAAUACGUAGGUGGCAAGCGUUGUCCGGAUUUAUUGGGCGUAAAGCGAGCGCAGGCGGUUUCUUAAGUCUGAUGUGAAAGCCCCCGGCUCAACCGGAGAGGGUCAUUGGAAACUGGGAGACUUGAGUGCAGAAGAGGGGGGUGGAAUUCCAUGUGUAGCGGUGAAAUGCGUAGAUAUAUGGAGGAACACCAGUGGCGAAGGCGGCUCUGUGGUCUGUAACUGACGCUGAGGCUCGAAAGCGUGGGGAGCAAACAGG
rnacentral:rRNA from 1 species